rnacentral:sRNA from 1 species
GGAUAUCAUAAUAAAGGAUAUUUCUAUAAGAUCUUCCGGGAGAAAUAUGGGACGACACCUUCAAGAUACAGAAAAAACUCAUAGGAAAGUAGCCCGAAUAGAGCGGAUUUCGAAUGUUUUCAGGAUUGCGGGAGCACAAAGUACAAAGCAAUCCGUAGGUAUUA